rnacentral:lncRNA from 1 species
CUUAAUUUUAUUUCACAGUUUAAAUUUUACAAAAGAAUUAAAUCUACUUAUCAGUUCAAUUCUUCUCAAAUUCUUAUACUGCAGGAUGUUAUAUUUCCAACUUUUUAAAAACCUGUGUGUUGCAGCAAAAGCCUGGGCAAAGGUCUUCCUCAGGUAGUAGACCUUAAGAGCUGUUAUAACUCCUUGAUCCAUUGGUUGGAUCAAAGAGGUGCUGUUUGGAGGAAGAAACACUGCUUUGAUAUUGGGAUGAAGAUCAUCAACCAAAGAAGCACGUCCAAGAGCAUUAUGGACAAUUAACGAAAUCUUGAAAG